rnacentral:tRNA from 1 species
GUCCCUAUCGUCUAGAGGCCUAGGACAUCGCCCUUUCACGGCGGUAAGCGGGGUUCUAAUCCCCGUGGGGUCGCCA